AAGGCUUUAAGUUAAAAAAACUAAUAGCCUUCAAAGCUAUAAAUAUAAGAAAGAUCUUUUAAGCCUUU
rnacentral:tRNA from 1 species